ACUCUCUCGGGUUGUUACUCUGUAGCUUCCCGGCUCGCGAAAGGGAGGACCUGUCUGGGUCAUGGAUUUUGAGAAUCUUUUCUCAAAACCCCCCAACCCGGCCCUCGGCAAAACGGCCACGGACUCUGACGAAAGAAUCGAUGAUGAAAUAGAUACAGAAGUUGAAGAAACACAAGAAGAGAAAAUUAAACUGGAGUGCGAGCAAAUUCCCAAAAAAUUUAGACACUCUGCAAUAUCACCAAAAAGUUCGCUGCAUAGAAAAUCAAGAAGUAAGGACUAUGAUGUAUAUAGUGAUAAUGAUAUCUGCAGUCAGGAAUCAGAAGAUAAUUUUGCCAAAGAGCUUCAACAGUACAUACAAGCCAGAGAAAUGGCAAAUGCUGCUCAACCUGAAGAAUCUACAAAGAAAGAAGGAGUAAAAGAUACCCCACAGGCUGCUAAACAAAAAAAUAAAAAUCUUAAAGCUGGUCACAAGAAUGGCAAACAGAAGAAAAUGAAGCGAAAAUGGCCUGGCCCUGGAAACAAAGGAUCAAAUGCUUUGCUGAGGAACAGCGGCUCACAGGAAGAGGAUGGUAAACCUAAAGAGAAGCAGCAGCAUUUGAGUCAGGCAUUCAUCAACCAACAUACAGUGGAACGCAAGGGAAAACAAAUUUGUAAAUAUUUUCUUGAAAGGAAAUGUAUUAAGGGAGACCAGUGUAAAUUUGAUCAUGAUGCAGAGAUAGAAAAGAAAAAGGAAAUGUGUAAGUUUUAUGUACAAGGAUAUUGUACCAGAGGUGAAAACUGUCUGUAUUUGCAUAAUGAAUAUCCUUGUAAGUUUUACCAUACAGGAACAAAAUGUUAUCAGGGAGAAUACUGCAAGUUUUCUCAUGCUCCACUGACUCCUGAAACACAAGAAUUGUUGGCUAAAGUUUUGGAUACUGAAAAGAAGUCAUGUAAAUAAAAUAGACAUAAAAAGGUAAAAUUAGAAUUUACCACAUUUCUUUUUUUCUUGUCUGAACAUCUCCAGAAGUUGGCAUGCAACCUCAAUAGGGUUCUCAAAUAGAAGUAUUUUUCUUCUUCCUCCGCCACUAAAAAAGAAUUAUAAAAUAUUUGAUAUAUUUACAUACCUAUAUGGAUCUACAUCAGCCUGCUUCCUUGUGUGGGCUUGUCUAUCAGGUAGCAAUGUACAGAUAAAGAGUACUUUAACGCCCAUGCGUGUUCAAGACUGUUCAAGACUGGUGAUUUGGAGUAGUUUACAAGAUUCCUCAUUCAGAGUGCCCUCUUGUGUGACUGGGGUGAUGUGCAGCUUCCAUAAUGGAUGGGACAGAGAGCUGGGAUCUAAUGUACAAGUGAAGGGCUUGGUCUUCCCUGAGACAUUCCAGCCAUUGGAAUAGGAGAGGAGCAUAUAUGGCAGAGGUGAUGGCUGGUGGGUAAAUGUGAUAGUAAAUUGUAGAAACCUCUUCUGAUUGAUUGGAUUUCCUUAAUAAAAUCGGAAGCAAGGUUAGGCUGAGUGAGGGUGAGUAAAGAGGUAGAGGAGGUUUGAGGAGAGAGAACUGCUCGGAAGACAUUGGUAGAUGGACCAUAAAAACAGAGUUAGUUCUCUUUAUGACAUUAAAUAGUUUUACAACAUAUUUUUAAUGGUUCACAAUUUCAUUUUAGGGCUUAAAAUAAAUUAUGGUUCUAUGAUUUUUUUAAACCAGUUUCCUAUUGUUAGACAUUUGUUUCCAGUUUCUUACUAUUAUAAAUAAAGUGAAACAAUAUCUCUUACUAUACCAUUUCUAAAUUUAGAGUUCGUAACUUUUCUGUUGUUAAAAUAUAAGAAUAUUUAUCUUUCUCAUUGGUUUAUAAACUGUAGUCAGAUUAUACACUUGUGUGAGUUACAAACUUUAGGAGUGUGAUGGUAUCAUUAACACAAGAUUCAAAUACUAAUGUUCCAAGUACAAAUAAUAAUGAGAUUCUAAAUAUGCAGUUUUAUAUAGUAAUAUUGAUUAUUGGUUAUUAUUAGACAAAUACCAUGAAAUGGAAACUCGUCAUUAUAUUGUUUUAUUGUUGGGAAAAGUAAUAGUAUUACCAACUUGCUGGACAUACAGAGUACACCAAAGCUAGUGAUACUUCUUAGCAAAGUCCUAUUUGAAAAUAGGAAUCAAAGUUAUUUUCAUUGUUAUCUAAUCCUGCUAAAGCAAGAAAGGGAAUUGCAUAUACUCCAAGCAAAGGUUUAUCAGACAAGACGAAAGAAAGCAGGAAACAAGGGUAAAUCCUAGGCCCUUAGAAGCAGGAAACUGAGGAAUGGAGAGCAAGUCAUCUCUCAGUGCCCUUUUGCUGUCUGCCCAGGUUGAUUGGUUCGCUUCUCAGCUGUGGCUCGGGAGGUGGGCAAGGCACUUCUUAUUUAAGUCUCAUAACAACCUUAUACAGUGGAUAAUGCAAUUCAUUGCAUAGAAAGGGAAUAAAUAGGAAUGCUUAAUUUUUUAAUUUUCAUGAGCCUUGUCAAUACUUGUAGUUAAUCUUAUACUACAGUCUAGCAGUUUACUUCCUAAUAUUACCUCAUGUAUAAUAGUUUGAUACUUAUAAAGUAUAGAUUUUAUAUAUAAAGUUUAUAUAUAAGGAAAAAAAUAAUUGUUAUAUUUCUGAGGCAGUACCCAUCUCACUUGUAAACUUAAAAGACACCGCAGAGAUUUGAGGGACUCAGAAGUCAAAUAGAGUAGGUUAAAAACCUCUUAUUUUUCAAAUUAAUUGUUUUAAGAAACAAGCAUACCUGUGUAAGUGAAAUAUCUUAAUUUGUGUUGAAUCAAGUUAGGAGACAGAGAUUCUCAUGAAUGUGUCCUGUGUUCUCAAAGCAGCUGCUAGCCUGUGGGUCUCUCCUACCUGGGUUAUGGCAGCACCUCACAGCCAAUCACUGGCCUCCAUUCUCCCCUUUCCUCUGUACAGUUUGCUCUGGUUCCUCAGAGCAGAUUUCCGAGUAUACUGCUUCAGCCACGCCCCCACUGUGCCGUUCCCUGAACCAAGAGCCAUUCGUCUCAAGAGCCAUUCGUCCAAAGUACUCUAUCACCUAGCCAUUGUAGCCAUACCAAGCCGGGCUUCCUACUUCCCUCUGCUCCCCUUGGUUUCCUCCUGUGAAGUAAAUCUCACUGACCCUUGAUGCAGCUCCAAGCAUAUAUAAUAUAUAUAUAAUAAAACCAUAGUCUAAAAAAUUCAAACCAGGAGAAAUAAAGCCAGAAAGUUGUAUGGGAAAAAUCUGCACAGAUUUAUUUGGCCAGCAUGGUUAUCAUGGCUCUAUUGAAUUUAUCCUUGACCGUCUUUAAAGCCAAAGCAAACGGGAUAAAGUGAUCAACUACUUACCUCUCAAUACCAGAAAGGAAGCAGGAGGCAAAAUCUCUCAAUAAUUUCAUAAAAACAAUUCUUAGCUGGGCGCGGUGGCUCACACCUGUAAUCCCAGCACUUUGGGAGGCCGAGGUGGGCGGAUCAUGAGGUCAGGAGAUCGAGACCAUCCUGGCUAACAUGGUGAAACCCCAUCUCUACUAAAAUUACAAAAAAUUAGCUGGGCGAGGUGGCGGGCACCUGUAGUCCCAGCUACUCGGGAGGCUGAGGCAAGAGAAUGGUGUGAACCCCAGGGGGCGGAGCCUGCAGUGAGCUGAGAUCGCACCACUGCACUCCAGCCUGGGCGACAGUGAGACUCCGUCUCAAAAAAAAAAAAAAAAAAAUUCUUAAGUGGGUCUUCAUUAUGGAAAUCACAGAAUAGAAUGGACAGAAUUCUCAUUUCUAAAAUUCUGUGUGACAGGUUUCAUAUGGGUCUUUUUAUGGUCAGUUACUAAAAGCCACAUAAUAGUAGAACUAAAUUUUUUUUUUUUUUUUUUUUUUUUUUUUUUUUUUUUGAGACGGAGUCUCGCUCUGUCGCCCAGGCUGGAGUGCAGUGGUGCGAUCUUGGCUCACUGCAAGCUCUGCCUCCCGGGUUCAAGUGAUUCUCCUGCCUCAGCCUCCCAAGUAGCUGGGACUACAGGUGCAUGCCACCACACCCUGCUAAUUUUUUGUAUUUUUAGUAGAGACUGGGUUUCACUGUAUUAGCCAAGAUGGUCUCGAUCUCCUGACCUCGUGAUCCACCCACCUCGGCCUCCCAAAGUGCUGGGAUUACAGGUGUGGGCCACCGCACCCGGCCAGAACUCAAUUUUUAUCUGUUGGUGAGAUAAUAUAGGUCAAGUAUAUAGCCUUUUGGUGUUUUAACUUGAUCCAAUUGUAGAACUUUAGGAAUUCAGACCCCGAGAUGUUAAAUGACUGUCCCCUGUUUUAAUAGGUUUCCUGAGUUUCAGCAUAAUUGUCUUAGUUCACUGACUAGUUUCUUAUAAGCAUAACCACUGGGGGGUUACGUGCAAGGAUUUCUUCAGGCCGGGUGCAGUGGCUCACACCUUGAAUCUCGGCACUUUGGGAGGCCAAGGCAGGAGGAUCACUUGAGUUCAGGAGUUUGAGACCAGCCUUGGCAACAUAGCAAGAUCUCAUCUUUACAAAAAAUUUUUAAAUUAGCCAGGCAUGGAGGUGCAUACCUGGAGUCCCAGCUACUUGAGAGUCUGAGGCAAGAGGAUCACUGGAGCCCAUGAAUUCGAGGUUGCAGUGAGUCCUGAUUGUGCCACUGCACUCCAGCCUGGGCAACAGAGCCUUGUCUCUUAUAAAAAAAAAAAAAAAAAAAAAAAGCAUUUCUUCUGAGUUGUGCUUGCUGAACUCAAAAUACUAGGUGAUUUGGUAAUGCGCCUAAAGAGCAUGGGGCUCCUCCUGCCAAUUAUAAGCAAAGACAUCACAUUUGGAGUUUGGCAAGAUCAGAAUAUCUCAGGUUGAGCACCUGCUGAAUGCUAGGAUUGUGUCUAUGCAUUUUAAAUCUAUUUUUAAUCUUUAUUACAGUCUUAUAAUAGGGAUUAUGACACCAGAACAGAGACAGCUGUCUUAAGAUUUCAAGGGGUGCUAGCUGAAGAAAACAGAGAGGAAAGUUGGGAAGAAGCUGGAUCCUUGAUAACAGCUGAGCCAUGGACUUAACCAGUCUUAGAUGAGCGAUACCUCACCUUCAGAUUUCAUGUCAUACCACCUGAAAUAAUAUAUUUUCAUUAUUGUUGAAGCCAUUUUGAUUUGGGUUGUCUACUAUGCUACCUGCAGCCAAAGGGAAACUAAUAAAUGUGAACUAAGAAGCAAACCUACAUUCUUCUUCCCAAAGUCCAUGUUUCUCCCCCUCGCCAUCCUCUUCACCAAAAACUACAUUCAUUGUAUUCAGCUCCUGCAAAGAGCACACAUUAAGAAACAGGUUUAAGGAAGUGUUAGACACUGAAUGUAUUCGACCCCCAAAAUUCAUGUGUUGAAAUCCUGACUCCUAGGACUAACUGUUAGGAGGUAGGGCCUUUGGGAGAUGAUUGGGUUUUGAGGGUGGAGCCCCUCAUGAAUGGGAUUAGUGCCCUUAUAAAAGAGGCCCUGGGGAGCUGUCUCCCUUUUCCACCAUGUGAGGACACGGCAAGAAAAUGGCUGUCUACAAAGCAGGAAGCAGGCCCUCACCACACACUAAUAUACCAGCACCUUGACCUUGACCUCCCCCCAUCUCCAGAACUGUGAGGAGUAAGUGUUGUUUAAGCCACCUAGUCUGUGGUAUUUUUGUUAUAAUAGCCCAAAUGGACUAAGAAAUGAAGAGAAAUUAAGAUGGGGAGGGCUAUUUUCAUAAUAAGGAGCAGAAAACUAGGAAGAGUAGAUAUAUUUAGAAGGGUUAAGAGGAGAGGGGAGAAUGUAUAUGUUUGGAUAGGGAGGGACAAGAUGCCCAACUCAUCUUAAAAGUGCUGUUGAUUCCUGUGAAAUUUGUAACACUCAUUUACAUUAUUUAAAAAUAAACUAAAUUCGAACUUGUCUUGGAGGCAUGAAAGAAAAAAAAAGACAUGUUUUUAGUUAUUGUAUGUUACUCUGAGCUACACAUUAUUUAACAUCUCUGAAACUGGAAUAUAUUUUACAAUUGAUAGACUCAUUUUAAUUAGCAGGUUAUUGUUUUCUUAGCAGUACAUAAGAAAUGGUGAAUCUUAUUGAUUCAGUGGCAUUUAGAUUCUAUUAAAUAUAAUUUUUAACUGAAGUUGUACAUAGUUAAAUAAAAGUUUACUAUGAAA